rnacentral:rRNA from 1 species
GAUGAACGCUGGCGGCGUGCCUAAUACAUGCAAGUCGAGCGAACGGACGAGAAGCUUGCUUCUCUGAUGUUAGCGGCGGACGGGUGAGUAACACGUGGAUAACCUACCUAUAAGACUGGGAUAACUUCGGGAAACCGGAGCUAAUACCGGAUAAUAUUAUGAACCGCAUGGUUCAAAAGUGAAAGACGGUCUUGCUGUCACUUAUAGAUGGAUCCGCGCUGCAUUAGCUAGUUGGUAAGGUAACGGCUUACCAAGGCAACGAUGCAUAGCCGACCUGAGAGGAUGAUCGGCCACACUGGAACUGAGACACGGUCCAGACUCCGACGGGAGGCAGCAGUAGGGAAUCUUCCGCAAUGGGCGAAAGCCUGACGGAGCAACGCCGCGUGAGUGAUGAAGGUCUUCGGAUCGUAAAACUCUGUUAUUAGGGAAGAACAUAUGUGUAAGUAACUGUGCACAUCUUGACGGUACCUAAUCAGAAAGCCACGGCUAACUACGUG